rnacentral:rRNA from 1 species
UACGUAGGGGGCUAGCGUUGUCCGGAAUUAUUGGGCGUAAAGAGCGUGUAGGCGGCCCGAUUAGUCCGCUGUGAAAGUCCAGGGCUCAACCCUGGAAUGCCGGUGGAUACUGUCGGGCUAGAGUCCGGAAGAGGAAAGUGGAAUUCCCGGUGUAGCGGUGAAAUGCGCAGAUAUCAGGAGGAACACCAAUAGCGAAGGCAGCUCGCUGGGACGGUACUGACGCUGAGGCGCGAAAGCGUGGGGAGCGAACAGG